rnacentral:rRNA from 1 species
CCUACGGGAGGCAGCAGUGAGGAAUAUUGGUCAAUGGCCGCAGGGCUGAACCAGCCAAGUCGCGUGAGGGAUGACGGUCCUAUGGAUUGUAAACCUCUUUUGUCAGGGAGUAAAGGGAGCCACGUGUGGCGUUUUGCGAGUACUUGAAGAAAAAGCAUCGGCUAACUCCGUGCCAGCAGCCGCGGUAAUACGGAGGAUGCGAGCGUUAUCCGGAUUUAUUGGGUUUAAAGGGUGCGCAGGGGGAGUGUAAGGUCAGUGGUAAAAUUUUGGGGCUCAACCCCAACGUGCCGUUGAGACUGGCGGUCUUGAGUGAGCGAGAGGUAUGCGGAAUGCGUGGUGUAGCGGUGAAAUGCAUAGAUAUCACGAAGAACUCCGAUUGCGAAGGCAGCAUACCGGCGCUCAACUGACGCUCAUGCUCGAAAGCGUGGGUAUCGAACAGGAUUAGAUACCCCAGUAGUC